rnacentral:misc_RNA from 1 species
UGUCGGAAGCGAAGACAAGAAGCGAAGGGAGAGCGUCGUGGGAGAACGCAGCAACGACCUCCGCCCGCUCGAGCGAUACCGAGGGUCUCUCCGUACUUUAGCAUGCAAGUAAAGUCGCGGUAACGGCGGAAUUCGACGUUGGAGCCGCCCUCUCGCCGCCCAACGACCCACUCCUCCUGGGAAGGUCAGCGUCGAGCUGUUCCGCCAGAAGGCUAACGCAGACGUCAAGGGAGCUCGACACAGUCGCUGUUGGACGGCGCGAGUUGACGGCAGUGAGCGAAAGAAGAAGGGAGAGAGAGAGGAGGAAGGGAGACGCAAGGGAGACGUCGACGACAGCAGGGGAGGCGGAGCUCUCGCCGAGCGAAGUGUUGGUGGUCGGCGAUGAGUUUGAGUCGGACUACGAAGCGCCUCGCAAGGCAGGCCUGCAAAGCCUGCUCCUUCGACGAACAACACGCUCGAGCGAGCUAUCAGGACGACGAGAGGAAUCUGCGAAGCGAGGACGUGGUAGCGAGUCUAUUGAACGUGGUAGAAUACAUCAAGCGGGAGAACGAGGGAGGAAGCAAGCGGUAGACGAAACG